AUGAAUCACUUUUAUUUACUUUUCUGCCAUUAAUUAAUUAUUGUGGUAAAAGGAAAAAGUAAUCCUAAUUAAAAGAAACAUAAAACCCUUUCUAUACAAUUUGUGAGAACUACUUUGAGAAAUUGAGAGGGCAGGGACGGUUCAACUGCACGCCUCGCAAUGGCCACCACCGCGGCGCCACGACUGACCACCACCGCAGCACCACGAAAGCCACCACCACCUACGCGACGAGCAAAUCCCCACUGCCGGCCCCGCAACUAGCCGCCACCGCGCACGGUACCACGACCAGCCACCGCCGCGGCGCCACGAGAAGCCACCGCCACGAACGACGCCUCUCUUGGAAAAAUGCCACGAUGAGGAGGUGUUAGACGAGCGAGCCGUGAGAAUUCAUCACAACCACAACCACAAACACCUCUAUCAAAGCAAGGGGAAGUUAGAGAUUCACAAUCAAGUCUUGCAUCACAACAAAGAAUCUCGAGCAACCGAAUAUUGCUGAAAGUGGAUAGAGACAGGUAAAUUUAUUUAAUAUUUGAAACAUAUAUUAUUGUGAAAGAAUAUUAAUUAUAGUUUAUUGAACAGUUUUAAUCCUUCGAAUGCUUCGAGAAAUUUGGUUAUAAUAUUCAAGAAAUCAUUUAGCGGUCUAUGGCCUACAUGGAACAGUGUCCCAAAUCAUGUCAGAGAUAGUUGGUUUGGAGAAUUUCAGAAGAUGUAUAAUUGGGCAGAGGAUAAUCAUUUGACAGUAAGAAGACAUUUCGAACGCAAAAGAAGUACCAGUUUGAGGAAUUCUUAGAACAAAGCUAAAAAGCGAUAUAUUGAGACAAAUAUAAUACCCAACUGGAUCAAUCGGAAUCAUUGGCAGGAAUUGAUGGCUUAUUGGAAUACUGACAAAUUUAUAAAAUAAAUCUGAAAUUAAUUCCAAUAACAGAAAAUCAAGUAUAAAUGAUCAAGGCACAUCUUUGCACAUAGGAGGAUCAAUUCUUAUUUCGGAAUAUAAAAGAAGAUAUGUAAGUAUUAAUUUUGUACUUUAUUCUUGAUAAUUGAAUUAUUUAAUCUUCAAUUAACUAUUUGCUCGUUUCUUUAGGUUAAAGAGAAAGGGAGAGAGCCUACUGCCUCAUAGUUAUUUUUGAUGACUCAUUAGACAAAAGGAAAUAAUGAUUGGAUUGAUCGUAAAUCAAAGUGUGUAUGGGUAUGAUUCUAAUUUUAUAUUUUAUUUCAAUCACAUAAUGUUUAACAGCUGCUGUUAAAAUCCAUUUUAAAUUUAGAAGGACUGAUGUUUAAUAUUCAUCUUUAGUUGCUUGAAUAUGCUCCUUUGAACUGUACUGAUAAUGCACUUAUGAACUGCUUGAAUAUGCUCCUUUGAGGUAUUGAUUUUUAGUGAAAUAUAUAUGAUUCUUCUAAUUGAAAUACAUCUGAUGUUGCUAAUUUUCUAUUACUCUAUAUUUUGGAUUAAUUUAUUAUCAAUUUUAUCGUAUCAGGAUAAAUUUUCGACAAUCAUCAAGCGAAGGCGUUUAGAUAACAAUGACGAUGGAGAAGGAAAUGAGGAUACAACAAUAAACGACGACGAGGAAGAAGAUUAUGCUAAUGGAGAUGAGGCCUUCAUGGAAAUGGUGCAUGCUCUACCUAAAGAAGUUGUUGAUAAUGCUUGGCUCGAGGCAACUGGAUGACCAAUUAAAGGAAGAGUUAAUGGUCUCGGAUCAGAGUCUGCUAAUUUUAUAC